CGGGGCAGAGAGGCCCUAUUGGGGCCGCUGUGACAGCUCCGCGUACGCCAGUGGCCCAAU
rnacentral:snoRNA from 21 species